CCUCACUUUUCUGAACAAGAGCCAUGACUUUACUCUUGAUAGGUUUCUUCUUUGAUGAACCAGGUUCAUUUGGAAUGGCACUGACUAAAUAGUCACAAGCAAGCAGAGUAUUAAUGCCAAAGUAAUUCUUGCUUGUAGCCAUUUUCCAUUUUUUCUGAGGCACAUUGUACCUACCCAGAAUCGUAUUCAGAAUAAAGUCAUAGGAGGUGUCUUGAGCCUUGGAGCCAUUGAUAGCCCUGUCCAGUAGCUUGAUGAUGAAUGCAUGCCAGUUAAUUUACCUUCCACUUUCAAGGCACUCCAUCAGGACUAAGUCCAUUUAAUUUGCAAUAUGCCUUCUCUCUUGCCUGGGCAGUAGGCCUUGUUGAGAAACGCAAAAAUGGCUUUGUGAUGUGGUUUCAUUUCACUUUUAUGCACAAAUUUGGCCUCAUUCACUUAUGCAGCAUUACAGAAUCUCCUAAUGAUAUUAAGGGCAGAUGGAAAGGAAUCAAUACUUGGCCAUUUCUGUCUGAUGUAAUCACCAUAUCCCUUAUUAGGGAUGUCUAGAAUCUCUGCCAACUUCUCUGCAUCAAAUGUCACUUGACUUUUCUUGUAACUCUGCCGUCUAUUACCUCAGCAUUCGCCAUGAAUUCAAUGAUUUAUUUUCUGGUCAAUCUCCCAUCCAUCUGAAGAACUAUGUCCUUCCAGCCCUGAGUAGCUAGGGUGUCAACCAAAUGGACCAUGCCUUGGUCCACCAAAUUUUUCAGCAAUCUUCCCUUCAAAAAUGUUCUUUUGCAAAACAUUGCCAGCUUGUCUUCUUCACCAUCAGACUCACGUUCUUCUUUAACAUUCUAUUCCUCAUCUUCAAAAACUCUAACUUGUUUGCUUUUCACUGCAGACCUUGUCUUCUUGGCCUAUGAAGGUUCAACAGCCUUAGACACAGAUGAAGAUUGAUUGGAUUUUUUGGGCUUGGGGGUUUGAACCUCCAUUGUUAUAUGGUCUUCCUAAUGGACCUAUUCCAUAUCCUCAACAUAAUAAACUUCAAAGGAUUCUGCAACCUUACCUUUUUCUUUAUCUAUCCUUUUUCUUCUUACUUUAAGCCAAAGCCUUUUGUAGGCCACUCUCACUCUGUUUUACCCUACUUCUUGUAGCACUUCCCUUUGGCAAGGGAGUUUCAGUAGUUGUUUGGGAGGAAGCCUUUCGUUUCUUGGAAGGUUUAGUAACACUGAGGGCUUUUGGUAUGAGAAUUUUCCUUUUCUUUGGAUCAUAACUUGCACCUACCUUUUUCAGAAGGUCUGCUAGGGUCUCUUCAAUUGAUGAACCAGGUUCAUCUCCCCGGGAGCUUAGAUUAACUAGUCCCUCAGCAACCUCCCCUGAACCGCUUCCCCCUGACUUU
rnacentral:lncRNA from 1 species